rnacentral:misc_RNA from 1 species
CAGACCAUGUGAAUAAAAACUUUCCUGCAAGGGAGAGCUACUUAAACUUCUGACGUCGUUGUUUUCCCCAUCAAGCCGCUCAUUAUGUGGUUCACGCUCAUUGCCAAUCUCUUCAGAUUCAGUUUGACCAAAGUAACUUAUGGCUGGAGGUGAAUGGCUUGCUUCAGUAUCUGACUUGUAUACACCAUCAUAAUCAUCCUUG